UAGGGAAUCUUCGGCAAUGGGGGGCAACCCUGACCGAGCAACGCCGCGUGAGUGAAGAAGGUUUUCGGAUCGUAAAGCUCUGUUGUAAGAGAAGAACGUGUGUGAGAGUGGAAAGUUCACACAGUGACGGUAACUUACCAGAAAGGGACGGCUAACUACGCGCCAG
rnacentral:rRNA from 1 species